ACACAUGCAGUCGAGCGGAGAUGAGGUGCUUGCACCUUAUCUUAGCGGCGGACGGGUGAGCAAUGCUUAGGAAUCUGCCUAUUAGUGGGGGACAACAUUCCGAAAGGAAUGCUAAUACCGCAUACGUCCUACGGGAGAAAGCAGGGGAUCUUCGGACCUUGCGCUAAUAGAUGAGCCUAAGUCGGAUUAGCUAGUUGGUGGGGUAAAGGCCUACCAAGGCGACGAUCUGUAGCGGGUCUGAGAGGAUGAUCCGCCACACUGGGACUGAGACACGGCCCAGACUCCUACGGGAGGCAGCAGUGGGGAAUAUUGGACAAUGGGGGAAACCCUGAUCCAGCCAUGCCGCGUGUGUGAAGAAGGCCUUAUGGUUGUAAAGCACUUUAAGCGAGGAGGAGGCUACUGAGACUAAUACUCUUGGAUAGUGGACGUUACUCGCAGAAUAAGCACCGGCUAACUCUGUGCCAGCAGCCGCGGUAAUACAGAGGGUGCGAGCGUUAAUCGGAUUUACUGGGCGUAAAGCGUGCGUAGGCGGCUUUUUAAGUCGGAUGUGAAAUCCCCGAGCUUAACUUGGGAAUUGCAUUCGAUACUGGGAAGCUAGAGUAUGGGGAGAGGAUGGUAGAAUUCCC
rnacentral:rRNA from 1 species